GACGUAGGGCGCGAGCGUUGUCCGGAUUUAUUGGGCGUAAAGAGCUCGUAGGCGGCUUGUUGCGUCGACUGUGAAAACCCGCGGCUCAACCGUGUGGCUUGCAGUCGAUACGGGCAGGCUAGAAUUCGGUAGGGGAGACUGGAAUUCCUGGUGUAGCGGUGAAAUGCGCAGAUAUCAGGAGGAGCACCGGUGGCGAAGGCGGGUCUCUGGGCCGAUAUUGACGCUGAGGAGCGAAAGCGUGGGGAGCGAACAGG
rnacentral:rRNA from 1 species